rnacentral:rRNA from 1 species
UACAGGGGGUGCAGACGUUGCUCGGAAUUAUUGGGCGUAAAGCGCGCGUAGGCGGCUACUUAAGUCGGAUGUGAAAGCCCUUGGCUCAACUGAGGAAGUGCACCCGAAACUGAGUAGCUGGAGUACGAAAGAGGGUCGCGGAAUUCCCGGUGUAGAGGUGAAAUUCGUAGAUAUCGGGAGGAACACCGGUGGCGAAGGCGGCGACCUGGGUCGAUACUGACGCUGAGGCGCGAAAGCGUGGGGAGCAAACAGG